rnacentral:rRNA from 1 species
AACGAACGCUGGCGGCGUGCCUAACACAUGCAAGUCGAACGCGAAAAGCAGUAAUGCUGAGUAGAGUGGCGCACGGGUGAGUAACACGUAAAUGACAUGUCCUCGAGACGGGAAUAACCAGCCGAAAGGCUGGCUAAUACCCGGUAAGCCCACGUCUUUGGAGAUGAGGGAAAAGGGUCGGGAAUUUUCGAAUCCGAUCGCUUGAGGAGUGGUUUGCGGCCCAUCAGGUAGUUGGCGAGGUAAAAGCUCACCAAGCCUAAGACGGGUAGCUGGUCUGAGAGGAUGAUCAGCCACACUGGAACUGAGACACGGUCCAGACUCCUACGGGAGGCAGCAGUGGGGAAUCUUGCGCAAUGGGAGCAAUCCUGACGCAGCAACGCCGCGUGGGUGAUGAAGGUCUUCGGAUCGUAAAGCCCUGUCGGAGGGGAAGAUGCUUGGAACGUCUAAUAGAUGAGCCAGGUGACGGUACCCUCAAAGGAAGCACC